CGCACUGACCGUAGUUGUAGUUCCAGGAUAUCUGGAUGGGACCCCUGCCAUAGUAUUGCUGGCCAGAAGCGCAGGGGAACUGGGGAGUUGGGGAGCAGUAAUCGCUUGGGUUCCGCUCUCUCAGGAAGCAGUAUCCCCAUGCGUAUGGUCCGUCAGGUGCACUGGGCCAUCCUCCGGUUGUUUCGUGAGACGUUUGCCCGAAGAAGGCCGCAAUCUCCCUCUUUCGAGUGGCUGUGUCUCCGGUGUUGCCGAAGCUGGGGAAAGCUCUGGCAGCGGCGAUGAAGGCAUCGUAGGUGUAGAAGCCUCUGGCUGGGCAGGCUCCGUCAUUGCGAUGUUUGAGCAUCUGGUCGAAGGUGGCCCUGGGUAUGAGAGCGGUGAGAUCAGUUGGAGCGGGCUGUCCUCCCCCGCACUGGCUCUGGCAACCCCGGCCGCAGUAGUCAUCGGUGGAGCCGCACCA
rnacentral:lncRNA from 1 species